rnacentral:pre_miRNA from 1 species
AGUGGGAUUGUUGGGUCAUAUGAUAAGUACCUGUUUAUAAGAAACUGCCAAACUGUUUUCUAAAGUGUCUGUACUCUUUUGCAUUCCCACCAGCAGU